rnacentral:rRNA from 1 species
CCUACGGGAGGCUGCAGUGGGGAAUAUUGGACAAUGGGGGCAACCCUGAUCCAGCCAUGCCGCGUGUGUGAAGAAGGCCCUCGGGGUGUAAAGCACUUUCAGUGAGGAAGAACGCCUGGUGGUUAAUACCCAUCAGGAAAGACAUCACUCACAGAAGAAGCACCGGCUAACUCCGUGCCAGCAGCCGCGGUAAUACGGAGGGUGCGAGCGUUAAUCGGAAUUACUGGGCGUAAAGCGCGCGUAGGUGGCUUGAUAAGCCGGUUGUGAAAGCCCCGGGCUCAACCUGGGAACGGCAUCCGGAACUGUCAAGCUAGAGUGCAGGAGAGGAAGGUAGAAUUCCCGGUGUAGCGGUGAAAUGCGUAGAGAUCGGGAGGAAUACCAGUGGCGAAGGCGGCCUUCUGGACUGAAACUGACACUGAGGUGCGAAAGCGUGGGUAGCAAACAGGAUUAGAUACCCUAGUAGUC